rnacentral:rRNA from 1 species
CCUACGGGUGGCUGCAGUGGGGAAUAUUGCACAAUGGGCGCAAGCCUGAUGCAGCCAUGCCGCGUGUGUGAAGAAGGCCUUCGGGUUGUAAAGCACUUUCAGCGGGGAGGAAGGCGGUGAGGUUAAUAACCUCAUCGAUUGACGUUACCCGCAGAAGAAGCACCGGCUAACUCCGUGCCAGCAGCCGCGGUAAUACGGAGGGUGCAAGCGUUAAUCGGAAUUACUGGGCGUAAAGCGCACGCAGGCGGUCUGUCAAGUCGGAUGUGAAAUCCCCGGGCUCAACCUGGGAACUGCAUUCGAAACUGGCAGGCUAGAGUCUUGUAGAGGGGGGUAGAAUUCCAGGUGUAGCGGUGAAAUGCGUAGAGAUCUGGAGGAAUACCGGUGGCGAAGGCGGCCCCCUGGACAAAGGCUGACGCUCAGGUGCGAAAGCGUGGGGAGCAAACAGGAUUAGAUACCCUAGUAGUC